rnacentral:lncRNA from 1 species
AUAUGAUACUUUCUUAUAGUCAAACAAACAUAUAAAAAUUAUUUUUUUAAUAUCACAUAGCUUCCUAGAAAAAUAUUUCAGGGAAUAUUUUUUUUUUCACGAACCAAAUAAGUCCUAUAUGGUCCUGAAGUCUAAUGCAUAUGCUCGACUCAAAAGCCUCCCUAUGAGCACCUUUACUAAAUAGGAGUGUGCAUAGGUUGGAU